rnacentral:lncRNA from 1 species
UUCCCAAAGGCCUUGAACCUAUCAUGUCCAUCCUUAAGAACGAGAGUGUUCUGUAAAAGAGAAAGAGAGUGAAAAAAGAUAGAGAAAGAAGAAGAAAGAAGAGAAAGAAAAAGAAAAAAAUUACAUGAUAGAAGAUGAAAAAUUCAAAUCCCAGCUCUCGUUUGGUCCCAAAUGCAGCAUUAUCCUGACACAUCAUUUGACUACACAGAAAGCUCGCAACACUUCACUUCUAAGCCGGGAUCCAACCUGCAUUCCUAGUUUUAUUUCCAAGAGCCCCAUUGUCCAGAACAAUGAAGACAGGAUUGGACUGCCUCCGACGAUGGACUGGGUGAACUCCCAUGAUCCAGGAAAGCCUUCAGAAUUCAACGUUUACAGAUAGUGUGAAAAUUGGAAAUGCGGGUUUGGGCUGAGCCAACGACAACAGAUCCCAAGACUGCAGUUGCCUGGUGGUUGGAGAACAGCGCCGCCGGCUGCCAUCGUCAGCUCCGCCGCCAGCCCGGGGGAGCGGCGGCUCCGCGCCGGCUUCCUCCUUUCCAGAGGUGAGGACCGCCGGCCUCAGCCUACUGCGGGGCCUGCCCUGCCCAACACC